ACUAGCUGACGAGUCCCGAAUAGGACGAAAUACGCAUCAAGCUGGAU
rnacentral:hammerhead_ribozyme from 1 species